GGGAUAGCCACUGGAAACGGUGAUUAAUACCUUAUAAAACUGUAGUAUCGCAUGAUACAUCAGUCAAAUGCUCCGGCGGUACAAGAUGGACCCGCGUCUGAUUAGCUAGUUGGUAGGGUAACGGCCUACCAAGGCGACGAUCAGUAGCCGACCUGAGAGGGUGAUCGGCCACACUGGAACUGAGACACGGUCCAGACUCCUACGGGAGGCAGCAGUGGGAAUAUUGCACAAUGGGCGCAAGCCUGAUGCAGCAACGCCGCGUGAGCGAAGAAGGUUUUCGGAUCGUAAAGCUCUGUCCUAAGGGAAGAAUAAUGACGGUACCUUAGGAGGAAGCCCCGGCUAACUACGCGCCAGCAGCCGCGGUAAUACGUAGGGGGCAAGCGUUAUCCGGAAUCACUGGGCGUAAAGGGUGCGUAGGCGGUUAAUCAAGUCAGAAGUGAAAGGCUAUGGCUCAACCAUAGUAAGCUUUUGAAACUGAUUAACUUGAAUACAGGAGAGGUAAGUGGAAUUCCUAGUGUAGCGGUGAAAUGCGUAGAGAUUAGGAGGAACACCAGUGGCGAAGGCGACUUACUGGACUGUUAUUGACGCUGAGGCACGAAAGCGUGGGGAGCGAACAGGAUUAGAUACCCUGGUGGUCCACGCCGUAAACGAUGAAUACUAGGUGUCGGGAGUCGAAUCUCGGUGCCGCAGCUAACGCAUUAAGUAUUCCGCCUGGGGAGUACGCACGCAAGUGUGAAACUCAAAGGAAUUGACGGGGACCCGCACAAGCAGCGGAGCAUGUGGUUUAAUUCGAAGCAACGCGAAGAACCUUACCAAAUCUUGACAUCUCUCUGAUCGCUACUUAAUAGUAGCUUCUCUUCGGAGCAGAGAUGACAGAUGGUGCAUGGUUGUCGUCAGCUCGUGUCGUGAGAUGUUGGGUUAAGUCCCGCAACGAGCGCAACCCUUGUCUUUAGUUGCCAUCAAGUAAUGUUGGGCACUCUAGAGAGACUGCCGGGGAUAACUCGGAGGAAGGUGGGGAUGACGUCAAAUCAUCAUGCCCCUUAUGAUUUGGGCUACACACGUGCUACAAUGGUCGGUACAACGGGCAGCGAAGGGGUGACCUGGAGCGAAUCCUAAAAAGCCGAUCCCAGUUCGGAUUGUAGGCUGCAACUCGCCUACAUGAAGUUGGAGUUGCUAGUAAUCGUGAAUCAGAAUGUCGCGGUGAAUGCGUUCCCGGGUCUUGUACACACCGCCCGUCACACCAUGGAAGUUGGGGGCGCCCGAAGCCAGUGAUCCAACCGUAAGGAG
rnacentral:rRNA from 1 species